CCUACGGAGGCAGCAGUGGGGAAUUUUGGACAAUGGACGAAAGUCUGAUCCAGCCAUGCCGCGUGCGGGAAGAAGGCCUUCGGGUUGUAAACCGCUUUUGUCAGGGAAGAAAUCCCUUGGGAUAAUACCUCGGGGGGAUGACGGUACCUGAAGAAUAAGCACCGGCUAACUACGUGCCAGCAGCCGCGGUAAUACGUAGGGUGCAAGCGUUAAUCGGAAUUACUGGGCGUAAAGCGUGCGCAGGCGGUUAUGCAAGACAGAUGUGAAAUCCCCGGGCUCAACCUGGGAACUGCAUUUGUGACUGCAUAGCUUGAGUGCGGCAGAGGGGGAUGGAAUUCCGCGUGUAGCAGUGAAAUGCGUAGAUAUGCGGAGGAACACCGAUGGCGAAGGCAAUCCCCUGGGCCUGCACUGACGCUCAUGCACGAAAGCGUGGGGAGCAAACAGGAUUAGAUACCCUGGUAGUCCACGCCCUAAACGAUGUCAACUGGUUGUCGGGAAGGUUCCUUCUCAGUAACGAAGCUAACGCGUGAAGUUGACCGCCUGGGGAGUACGGCCGCAAGGUUGAAACUCAAAUGAAAUUGACGG
rnacentral:rRNA from 1 species